rnacentral:rRNA from 1 species
AAAUUGAAGAGUUUGAUCAUGGCUCAGAUUGAACGCUGGCGGCAGGCCUAACACAUGCAAGUCGAACGGUAACAGGAAGCAGCUUGCUGCUUCGCUGACGAGUGGCGGACGGGUGAGUAAUGUCUGGGAAACUGCCUGAUGGAGGGGGAUAACUACUGGAAACGGUGGCUAAUACCGCAUAAUGUCGCAAGACCAAAGAGGGGGACCUUCGGGCCUCUUGCCAUCAGAUGUGCCCAGAUGGGAUUAGCUUGUUGGUGAGGUAACGGCUCACCAAGGCGACGAUCCCUAGCUGGUCUGAGAGGAUGACCAGCCACACUGGAACUGAGACACGGUCCAGACUCCUACGGGAGGCAGCAGUGGGGAAUAUUGCACAAUGGGCGCAAGCCUGAUGCAGCCAUGCCGCGUGUAUGAAGAAGGCCUUCGGGUUGUAAAGUACUUUCAGCGGGGAGGAAGGUGUUGCGGUUAAUAACCGCAGCAAUUGACGUUACCCGCAGAAGAAGCACCGGCU